rnacentral:rRNA from 1 species
GACGAACGCUGGCGGCGUGCCUAACACAUGCAAGUCGAGCGGGGAAAACCCUUCGGGGUUUUUCCAGCGGCGGACGGGUGAGUAACGCGUGAGCAAUCUGUCCCAUACAGGGGGAUAACAACUGGAAACAGUUGCUAAUACCGCAUGAGACCACAGAGUCGCAUGGCUUAGGGGGUCAAAGGAGCAAAUUCCCGGUAUGGGGGUGAGCUCGCGUCCGAUUAGAUAGUUGGUGAGGUAACGGCCCACCAAGUCAACGAUCGGUAGCCGACCUGAGAGGGUGAUCGGCCACAUUGGAACUGAGACACGGCCCCAGACUCCUACGGGAGGCAGCAGUGGGGGAUAUUGCACAAUGGGGGAAACCCUGAUGCAGCAACGCCGCGUGAGGGAAGAAAGGGUCUUUCGGGAAUUGUAAACCUAAGUUAGUCAGGGACGAAAUUUGACGGUACCUGAA